CGAGGCGGUCGAGCGAGCGGACCGAGCGGUGCAUGCGCUCGGCGAGGUCGGCGACGCGCAGCAGCGUCGGAUCCCCUUCGACCGUCUCGA
rnacentral:tRNA from 1 species